rnacentral:sRNA from 1 species
UAAAAAUACUUUUAAAAACAGUAGUUUGUCUGUGGUAUUCCCAUCCAUCGGUUGACAAAAACCACAGCAAAACGAACCUAUAGGGCACGCUCGUUUA